GAUGAACGCUGGCGGCGUGCCUAAUACAUGCAAGUCGAGCGAACAGACGAGGAGCUUGCUCCUCUGACGUUAGCGGCGGACGGGUGAGUAACACGUGGAUAACCUACCUAUAAGACUGGGAUAACUUCGGGAAACCGGAGCUAAUACCGGAUAAUAUAUUGAACCGCAUGGUUCAAUAGUGAAAGACGGUUUUGCUGUCACUUAUAGAUGGAUCCGCGCCGCAUUAGCUAGUUGGUAAGGUAACGGCUUACCAAGGCAACGAUGCGUAGCCGACCUGAGAGGGUGAUCGGCCACACUGGAGCGUGGACACGGUCCAGACGCCUACGGGAGGCAGCAGUAGGGAAUCUGCCGCAAUGGGCGAAAGCAUGACGGAGCAACGCCGCGUGAGUGAUGAAGGUCUUCGGAUCGUAAAACUCUGUUAUUAGGGAAGAACAAAUGUGUAAGUAACUAUGCACGUCUUGACGGUACCUAAUCAGAAAGCCACGGCUAACUACGUG
rnacentral:rRNA from 1 species